rnacentral:rRNA from 1 species
AUGCCGUCUGCGAUCGAUCCACCGAUGUCAUCAUCACGGGCCAACCACGACGGCGCAUCAGCCAUCGCUGAUGCUGCUGCCUCCGCCGCCAGCUCCGAAGACGACGUCUCUCCAUGGUCGUCUCUGCAUGCAGAUUUGGUUCGUCAACUCGGCUGGGAGGUGCUGGCCGGAGAUAUACUGGACUAUGUCCGAUUUCGUGCCGUGUGCGCCCACUGGCGGUCCAGCACCGUCGCGCCGCGGGGGCACGGCAUCGUCGACCCACGCUUCCACCCCAAGAGGUGGUUCCUGCUGCCCGAGGGUCACGGCCUGCACCCUGCUGACGGCAAGAAACGUUUCUUCAAUCUCUCCACAGGAGUUUUCGUCCGUGUCUUGCUCCCCUUCUUAAGCGAUAGCUAUGUCCUUGACUCGGCCGAUGGCCUCCUCCUCUUGCAACGGAAAAGCCAAGACACCUCCGCGAUCCGGCUCCUCCACCCUUUCACCGACGACUUUGCGGAGCUACCACCGCCCAUGUCCCUUGUAAGAGCUAACUUGGAUAUGUCCGAUGGCACACGACGGGUUGAUUUCCGUAGUGUCACUUCCAUUAGCGUCACUGUUGAUGGAGUCGUCGCAGUCAUGAUCAAGCUUUACAAUAUAUCACGUGUAUUCUUUGCUACUACUAAGGACCGGCAGUGGAGUGUCUCGACUUGGAAUAUCGGAUGGUUGAUUGCCACGUGUCCCACUAACAAAAUUUCUGGCAUGUUCUACAUGGAAGAUUGUGUCUCGGAGAUCCUAGUGAUUGGUCAGGAUGCUAACCCAUUUUUCAAGGGCCGCUUGGUCGUCUACAAAGUAGCCGAUCUUAUCAUGGGCAAGGUUAUCCCGGUAACAAGCAUCGGAGGUAAUACUCUCUUCACUACAAUUGACAAUGGAAUUAGCAUUGACGAUAAUGAUAUCUCUGUUUAUGUGAGGGAGACUAUUGUUGUGAGUUACAAGCCCAUACCUACUGCUAUGGGCGACACCAUUGUACGCCGUCGGCGUCUCAAGGAUAAUUCUCCUUUGUACUACGACCUCUUUAGCGGCGAAUGGUCCCAAGGACCGGCCAUGGAGUGUGCUGAUGUGACGACUCCAUCAAUACUCACGCUCAUGGAGGUGACACCACUGAAAGCAACAUGUCUCCUGCCAUUUGACAUAUCGAAGUUGGCCCUUACCAAGGACAUGAGCGGCGGUAGCUCCACAAAGUCGCCGGUGAAAGGGUGGAGGAUAUGCAUACAGUGCUUAAAAGUUGGAAAACGUUUCACGCCAGCGCGCCCGCCGAAACUUUGAGCGCCCUCCGCCAUUGCUGCUCCCACCGCCCGUGACGUGGCUACACCAUGGUCUUCUCUCCCCACAGAUUUGGUCUGCCUUGUCAGCUGGCGGGUGCUGGCCAGAGACCUGCUGGACUACGUCCGCUUCCGGGCCGUGUGCGCGCACUGGCGGUCCAGCACCGUCUACCCGCACGGACGUGGCAUCGUCGAUGCCCGCUUUCACCUGCGCCGGUGGAUGAUUUUGCCCGAGGGUCACGGCAUUCACCCUCGCAUCGACAAGAGACGGUUCGUGAAUCUCGCGACCGGAGUCUUCGCUUGCGUCUCGCUGCAUCUCUUCAUGGACCAUCAUGUCCUUGAUUCGGUCGACGGCCUCCUUGUCCUCUACAAAGCUAACGCCAAGACCUUGAUCCUAAACCCCUUCACCGGCGACGUUGUGAAGCUCCCGCCGCUCAUGAAAUCCCACUGGAACCUAGAUAUAGGGGGACGGUAUGAUUCGGUGCAGCUCAAGUUCAUCACAUCCUUGAGCGUGAGCGCGGAUGGAGUCAUCACAGUCAUGAUCGUGCAUCAAUAUAUGCGCCGUGUAGUUUUUGCUACCACCAAUGACCAGCUGUGGAGGGUCUCGAAUUGGAGCCUCUCACCCUUGUCCAUACCCAUAUCAUUCCAAGGAAAGUUUUAUAUACUGGAGCCUCAUACUAUGGGUAGCAGCGGACGACCGAUACUACAACUUGACCCGCCUAUUUAUGAGUACUAG